rnacentral:lncRNA from 1 species
UUCGUAGUUGUCCUGACUCCGUGAACGGACACGGUCGUGGUUUGUGGGCUGUCACAUAUUCCUCUUGUGCAGGUUUUGGCAGAUGCUUCACCGAGCUCUUUCUCGUUCUGUGAGACCUCUUCAGCAUCAGUCUCUAGCUCUCUUUUAAUAUGAUCUUUUUUUUCUUCUCCUUCUUUCUUUCUCCAUCGUUCUGCUCCACCCUCUCUCUCGUUUCCCACCUAUCGGUUUAUUUUUCUUCGCUUCCAGUCUCUUUUGGUUCGCUCAUGACACACUAUCAGCAAACAUUGAUCCUCUGCGGUCAUUUCUAUCCUUAUCACGGGAUGCAACACACAGAUCCACAUUUGCGUUUGAACCUUCACCUCUCUUCCCUCUAUGUUAAUCCUUCUACUCUUUCCAAGCCAAGUGAGCAUGCCCAUCCUUAGUCUCAGCCUUUGUGUCGUUAUAGUUUCUGACCCUCCCUAUCAACACAUUGUUGAAAUGGCGGCUAAUGGUUUCACAAGAGAGGUGGAACCUCUCUUGUAUAACUCUGAUUCGCUGAUUAUGACCUAUAAUGCUUAAGAAUAUAGCAACCUGCUCUUCCACCAGAACAGUGAUGGUAUCUCUCAGCAGUCCUUGCUCUCUAAAAGUGUCGGAUAGUUUGUGAAACAGACGUUUAUCCAUCCGAAGCACUUCCCUGCAAUCUUCAACAGGUCCUUGAAGCAAGUCUUUUAAAUAUGUACCUCUUGUAGAAGGCGAAGUUCCCGGAGGUUGGUUUACUAGACUUUGGUAGUAUAAGUAACCAGCAGCUGCAGCAACUAGCUCCAUCUCAUCUAGUUCUAAGUCUAAAUCGAUGCUACUAGUGGAGGAAUCUGAAAGUAUAGCCAAAAGUACCAGUCAGUGUUCUAAAAAUCGGUCUAUGCGGAGUCUAGCCGUCUGCUUAAGUGGCAAAUCGGAUUUAAAUGGUUUAAGUGUUUGUCCGACUAAUCAAUAAUCCUCUAUAAAGCUCCUAAUUACGGUCUAGCUAUUUUUUUAACAUUGGUAAUAAUGUAACUAAAUUAAUGUCAUUAUGAUCAGUGUUUGUACCAGUGACAAUAUCAAAUGUUUUAUUUCAAAUAUUGUUUCAAACACCUUGUAAGUUGUCUCCGUUCUUCUUAGUCAAAGCUGCUGCUCUCAUUUUGGAAGCUGCUGCGAGUUCUAGCAUGGCUUCAACUAUGGCAACACCACCAGCCUUGCGGUUUCUCCUGCGAGACGGUCCAGAACCACCAGAAGGUGCUGUCGGAAUACGCUUGUUGUGUCCGUUAAUGACGUGUACUUCGUCUCCAGAGCCGCCAGAGGAAAGUUCAUCAUCAUCAUCAUCACCAUCACCAGACAUCAUUCUUCAACAUGCAAAAACCAACGCAAGUGAUUCAGACAGAAGAGAAUGUGCGAAGCUUAGUACAAGACCUUAGCUCAAAGCAUCAAGUUUGAACAAGAAGAAGGUUUGGUUCUGAGAAAAAUUUGAGCGAUUGCUAAUGGCCUCGAACAUUAGGGAUUCUGACAAUUGAGUCCUGUCCCUUAGUUUUGUUUUCUUUUCAUUAGUCGCUCAAAACUUUCAACACUUUAUGUUUUUGGCGUCAUAUUUUAUCCGAUAUCAAAUUAGCCCAGAAUCCAAAAAUAUAAUUUAAUUUGUCUACUUGAGACGAUUAAUCAAGUGGCUAAUCUUCAAUAUCUCCACAAAAAAUAAUAAUUUAUCGACUUGAGAUGAUUAAUCAAGUGGCUAAUCUUCAAUAUCUCAGACUAAAGAUUAACAGAACCUCUUAAACUUAUUACUCAUGAUUCGCCAUGAGUUAAUCACACUGAUAAAUAAAAGAGAAUUGGAAAGAAGAAAGAAAAAUCCAAAGGGGAUUGAUUAUCUAUAAUCUUUACUAAAUUAACAAUCAAACCAUUUUUGCAUAAAGUUUACAAAAGAAAAGAACAAGAACACAAGAAGAGACUCAAAAGAAACUAUAAUCUCUAACAAUAGAUCAGAUAAAGACAUGAAAAGCUUUUUAUUUUCUCUUCAGCUGGGAGCCAAGAAAUGAACACGAGCAAGUGUGUACUCUUUCCCAGCAAUCCAAACACCAGUCUGUGACCAUUGUACAUCUUCCCAAUCCAGAUUCUCCUCCAACACCUGUUUCUCAAUUCCACAAACAUCAUCAUCAUCACUUGUUUUAUAAUUAACAAAAAAAUACAAGAAUUUUACUAAAUUAAUGUUAACCUCGACGUGAUCUGGUGGGAGUGGAAACCCGAUAUCCCGCAUAAGCUUCUGCGGGAGAGGUUUCUUACAUCGUGACCAACGGAAAACAUCAAUUACACUGUUGUCUGAAUCUGUAUCUGUUUUUUCACCGUCUGUUGUCACAUGAGGGAGAGGUUUCCUCCAUCGUAACCAACGGAAAACGUUUAAGGAAAACAUGACAGAGUUGUUAUUGUUAUCCAUCUCCUUAGCUUCUUCGGAUGAUGAGUGUUGUUGUUGGGAGGCUUGGAAUUCUUUCAUAGUCUUCUCUCCAGCGAAACAGAGCUCAUACCUAUUUGCCAUACAAAAGAGUUUGAUUUAGCAUGUAACAAUAUCUCAUUAAUGUUGUUUGAUAUAAACAUGUGUUUAAAUACCUGGAUGAAUGUGUUUCAAGGUACAAAACUUCUCCUUUCUUCAAGCGAGCAGAGGUGAAAAGAGGCUUUUUCAGACCCUUAUCGGCCACAGCGCUUAUGCUAUAUUUGAUCCUGCAAGAAACAAAAAAGAAAAGUAAAUCAAUGCGUGGGUAAAAAGUGAUCUUAGAAGGUAAAGAUUAUCUAAAGCAUUGUGCGGAAGUUUUCAGAGAGUUUACCAAGGUUCAUUGCAGAGGUUGUAUUGUAUUGUUACUUCUCGAACAAACCUUUGUUGCCGCUGACCAUUCUACAGAACGGUAAACAAGUCAUCAGUACUGAAACAUGUCUAAUCAAAUUUUGAAAUGCAAGUGAAGUGAGGGAUAGAGAAUCAGAGAUUUUAAAGUACCGAAGCUGCAGCUCUGGUGGUCAUAGACUUAUCAACAGCCAUUGGUGCAAGUGUUGGCUCUGAGGAGUGUGUAAGAGAGGGUUCCAGUUCUAUAGUUCCACCUCCUUUCUGAAAUAAAAACACCAGUAAGGACUUGAAAAAGAAUCCACUUUUUAAACUGGAUAUUAUGAACAUCCUGCCAAGGAAACAAGGAGGACAGAUAACAAAGAGAUGUCAAAUUAAUAACCUUAAGUAUAUAGCACCGCUCAACUUUGUAACUGCAUCCGAUUCCAGCUCCCCAUGAUCGAGAGCGGACAUUGUUCCUUAGCUUGGAGGUAUAGUCUUAAAAUAUAAUAUAUAUCGAAUAUAAAAAGUUAGUAUGAACAUGGAAAAGUCAAUAAAAGCACAAAGAUAAAAACCUAACUUACAAUCUUGUGACGGCAAGACUCUAAUGGUAGCACGCAACUCUUGCAAUGUCGGUGGAGGAGGGGAAGAUGUAGGACGACAAUAACCUGUAUGCAUGAGAACUAGAAGACAUACCAGAAUCAGUGUUAUGUUAGUUCAAAGCCAAGGCAUGAAAUGCAAAGAUUCUUUAGGACACGUACCAGCAACAAGAUCUGAAUCAUCUGUGUAUAUGUCUGUUCCCCAUAGCUGGCCACCUCUUACCUUCAUAAAAAUAAGCCAAAGGUCUCAAUAUACAAUAAAAAAAGAUUAUGAGAAAGUCUUUGGAUGUAUCUUCGUCUUACUCGGCGGUUAGUAGCAGUAACAUACUCAGCUGGAAUCUGAACUUCAAGAGUGGGGCCAUUACUUGCGAACUCACCACUUUUGUCAGGCUGAGAAGAUUCAUAUUCCUUCCACAAUUUAAUCAGUUCUUGCAUACAUUCCCCAACGUUGUAAACAACAACCGGAACCUCUGAUUCGCCUGGAUCAUUCAGUAAAACAAAAAUUCAACAAGCUGUCGCUCUGACCAAAACUAUGUUCCAUAUAAAAGUUGAUAAAAGCAGCAGAAACUUGAUACAUGUGAGCUCAACCUUAUACUAAUCUUAUACUUGAUAAAAAAAACAAUGCAGAGAUAUAAGCAACUUUAAGCAACACAAAUGAAGUAGCAUUGGGGAUUGAAACCGACUUUUUGGUCCAAUCAUUUUAUAUUUUAACAUUCUACCGUUACUCUGCAACCUAAAGGCAAGCCUAAGAAGGAAACCUCAUAGAUUAAUUAUCAAGUACAAGUGUGUCGCAGAUGACCAUCAUCAAUGCACAUAUAAAAACGAAUGCCAGUUUAACCGAUUAUUUUUCUUUCACUAUUGUUCACCAAGCAGUGCAAAUCGAUCCUUUCUCGAAGACAUAGUAACGAAUGAUUACCUUGUACCCUGCAAAGAAAACACACACACAAUCAAACAUGGAUGAUGCAUUAGAAACCAGAUUAGUGACUGACAAAAGUUUAAGGACUUAGACCAAUCAACUAACUUACAUGGUAAAAGAAACGAAGGGAAAAUAAUCUUCUUAACACAGAGAGUAAGGGAGGCGGCAGGGAAGAAUAUCAAAAGAGACGGCAAAUUUAGGUUUUCAAGGUGCAAAAUUUUCUUUACAGGCUUUUUAAAAGAAAAGAAAACAAUAAUGGUAAUGAGAUAUUCUCAACAAUAAUCAAUAUCGCCUGCAGAUUUUACUAAAUAUGUUCAAAUUUCAACCAAUCCUGGCGUCUCUACUCUCUCCAAAAGGUAAAAAAAAUUAUAGGAUUAAGCUAAGAUAUGAGAGGCUAAUACUAAUUAGACAGCGUCUAAUAUAAAUGCGUAAGACAAAGAGACGCACGCAACCUUCGUAGUUGUCCUGACUCCGUGAACGGACACGGUCGUGGUUUGUGGGCUGUCACAUAUUCCUCUUGUGCAGGUUUUGGCAGAUGCUUCACCGAGCUCUUUCUCGUUCUGUGAGACCUCUUCAGCAUCAGUCUCUAGCUCUCUUUUAAUAUGAUCUUUUUUUUCUUCUCCUUCUUUCUUUCUCCAUCGUUCUGCUCCACCCUCUCUCUCGUUUCCC